GUACUCCUGGACAGGGCUGCAUGCACAGAGCAGAUAGCCUGAAGCCUGGGGAGAGGUGGACAAAGAGACAGGUAAGGGGAGAGAAACUGGAUGAGUGAUAGGGGAAUGGGGCAAGACCGAGAGAGUGAAAGGAAGAAACACAGAGAGGUUGGUUAGAGAGAAACAUAAACAAAGAGGAAGUACAAAGAGAAAAGUGGAGACCUGGUCCAGGUACGUGGACAGGGCGAGAUGGGCCAGGGGAGAGGGGAUGUGUGAAGUGGCUCUGAGUGUUGGGGCAGAAAGGGCUGGUAUCAUGGGCAUCAUAGUUUCAUGACUCUAAGACUCCAACAUCCCUGGGGCCAAGCUCUGCAGAGGCCAUUGCAAUUGAAAAGAUGGGCAUCUGUCACCUCUCCUGGAAUUGCGGGGCCCAGCGUUAUGUUCUGUCAUGGAGAAGGAUGUCUUCAGGGAGAGUGUGCUGCUCUUUGGCAGGUAAGCUCCAGAGCCUACCCUGUGGGGAGGUGUCCCGGGGUCAUCUGCCUCACUGCCCCAGGCCCUGUGGGAUUUCCCCCCUCCCGCCACCAGCUGGCGUUCCUCAUGUUCUGAACCCAGGCAUGAGGCAUCAUGUUGCCCCCAGGUCCGGCAGUCUGGACCUGGCAGAGUUGAACUGCUGAUAUUGAUAAAAAGUGUAUGACAAGAAUGUCCAUAUUCUCCCUCUGGAACGAGCGGUGUGCAUCCAAAUCGUGGGUUGCUAUCCUCCUGUCCACAACCAAUCUGAGGAUUCCAGAAGGUAGUAUUUGAACAAGACAUAUUUUACUGAAGGACUCGUGGAUUGCGGGGUCCCACGACAUCACCUCAUCGAUGCAGUCGAUGGUUGGUUCCAGAUUCAGGCUCGUUUCCGGGAAGAAACCCUGACAGAAGUUGAGAAGCACGGGAGCUGCAUUCCGUUAGGACGUGAAUACAUGAAAUGCUCCUCUCACGACCUUCUAGAAGAAUGAGCUGGGACCCAGUUUCUGCGUCCUGCUGGAACCAGAGACGGAGAUAUUGCCCAGGUGUCUGAAAGCCUGCAUUGAGCUGAGCCUUAAGAGAGAAGUUUGGAAUUCAGUUUUGAGAGUAGACAGCCAGUCCAAGAAAGCCUUGUAAUUGGCUCUUAGAUUUCAGUUGUGAGAGA